AACGCACCUUGCACUCUUUUGUUAUUCAGAAGAGUAUGCCUGUUUGAGUGUCGCGAACCUCUCAACCCCGCCCAAUCUUGGGUUGCCUGGGCUUGGAUCAUGGUCUUUUGUAACAUGCCGGCUGUCUUCGGAACCGGCUGGACUGAAAUACAACAAGCUGGAUCAGAAACUUGACCUGACCUGACGUUGUAAAAAUGACAACUCGUUGGGGACGCGCAACGUUGUGAAUGAGCUUCUGCAAACCGUUGAUUCAGUGCAAUCAGACCUCAAAUCAGGUAGGACUACCCGCUGAACUUAA
rnacentral:misc_RNA from 3 species